rnacentral:lncRNA from 1 species
UACGUUAUCUCCCUUUCCCUUUUUCUCUCUGUCCCUCCCUCCUUCUUCCUCUCUAUUCUUCCCCUCCCCUUGUUUUUAUGCCUGAUUAUGUGGACACAGACAAGGAUUAAAACAGGGCACCUGCCCUUGAGGAGUUUACAAUCUGCUGGGCUGAGGAUCAACACAUGUUCAAAAAGAGAGGAAAGAAGUCAAGGGAGAUCAUGCCAGAUGGACUUAAUUUCAAUGAAGAACAGGAGUCCUAAAGAUUAAGAAGAGAGGUCUUCCUGCCUGUAAGAAGGAGGCACUCUCUGCUUCUGUCAUGUGCUAAGCUUCGUCAAACAGAUUAUCUCUCUAAAGGUAGAGGCCUGUGAUUGACCGCUGUACCAAUGACUGAGCAGACAUAAAAGUCAGCCUGGAUGGCUACCACCACUAAUCAGAUUUGUCUGCUGAUGCAAGGCCCUUCAGUCAUUCCAGAACUGGUAAAUGGAGUCACCCUGAGGACAGGCCCUGCUGCUGAUUGAUGUCCAGUGUGGGCAGCUCUCUUGGCUGCUCAACAUUCAGAGAGGCUCUCCUUGUUUCAGUGCUAAAUGAUUGACAGUCAGGGUGAGUAUUUCAGGAGGAAGAGUCCCCCGCCCACUCCAGCCAUGUGGCAAAGGUAUUUGCUUCCUUGGGAAGGAAGUGAUUUAUCUGUGGGAGAACACUGUUUGGGCAAAGUUGCGUAGGAACAGCGUCUGUCUCUGCAAGCAUGUGUGUAUGUGAGUGUGGGCAUAAAGCAGCAAGAGUGGAAGGUAAAGACAACGUGAACGUCAUAAAAGAACACUUCUUUUUACAAAUGCUUGAAAACAUUCGAUGCUGAAAGACUUCAGACCACAUAAAUGAAUUUGCACCUAAUUCAACAUAGCUAUACUUCUUUCUUUUUCAGAAUUAAUGAGCCUGCCUUAUCAUUAGUUUUAUCAUAGAAACUAUCACAGAGAAGAAACCAUCUUAGAGAGAAAUCGGUGGAAGACAAGAUGAAAAAGGAAAAAUAAAAAAGACUGGAGGCAGGGGAACAUGGAGAAUGCAAGUGUGUUUGCAUUUGCACCAAGUUUGAGUUGAAAGGCUUUAUAAGGAUUUUGAGCAGCUGUAUAAGUAGUUAGAGCUAGAUAUGUGUAUAUGUGUUGCCAUUAACCAAGUUACUUCAACAUUAGCCUUAUGAUUAUAUGCCCUAGCAUUCAGAUUCAAGGAAGAAACAGUUUCUCUGGAGAAUUUUGUUCCUUAGUGACUGAUUUCAGUUGAUUUCAAGAUACCACAGACUGGGAAAUUUAUGAAGAAAAGAAAUUUAUUUGGCUUAUGGUUCUGGAGGAUGGACAGUCCAAGGUCAUGACACUUGGAUCUGUUCGGCCAUCUGGUGAAGACCUUGUUGCAUUCUCCCAUGGUGGAAAGAAGAAAGCAAGUGAGUACAAGAGAUAGAGAAAGAUAAGGGCAGAACUUACUCUCUUAUCAGGAGUCCGCUUCUAUAACCCAUUCUAAAAAUAAAGCAUUAAUCCAUUCAUGAGGGUAGAGCCCUCAUAACCUAUCACCUCUAAAGAUCCCACUUCUUAAUACUGUCACAAUGGCAAUUAAAUUUUAACGUGAGUGUUGUAGGGAACAUUCAAACAACAGCAACUACAACAACAACAGACGUCAGCUCCUGUGUGUCUUCCCUUGCUCAUCUAUGCCUACCAGAAUAGAAUGAAAGAAGGGUUUAUUUGAUCCUGUGUUCAAGUCAUUCAUUUAUUCCACUAGGCAAUCUGUCAAGAUCUCAUAGAUUAAGGGCUCCUACAGCAACCUGUACUCACCCUAUUUUACCCUUUAUCAUACAUUUUUGGUAAGUAAUCUUUUUAUUGUUCAACUUCCCAAAUAAAAUAUAAACUUUUAACAAACAGGGACCUUGGCUUUCUUGUUGAAUUCUGUAUCCUUAGUGUUUCACAUGGGGACUGACACAAAGUAGGUUUCAAGAAAUAGUUGUUGAAGUAAAUAUUUCCUUAGGACCUACUCUGCUGAGAUUACUAGUUGCCUUGUAUCAUAGUAGGUCAUACUUAUCCCUUCUUUUUAAGUAACAUAAUUCUCAUUUUAACCUGGAAGGCCAUACUAAGUGGCCAAAAGACAACCCAGCUCCUGUGUCAUUAAGAAUAACUGUGUAAAUCUGAUUCAUGAGAUGUAAACAGAAAUGUUGUGUUUCACUUCCAUGAAGUCUUUUACUCCAUCCUCCUCCUUAGAUCAUGCAUGUGAUGGCUGGAACUCAGUCAUUUUGGACCAUGAAGACCAGACCCACACGCUGGGGCCUAAGAAGCAGAAGUAUGAAAGCCACCUGGAUCCCUGAAGACCAUGGAAUUGUUAGAACAAUUCUACUCUAUCUGUAGACUUGUUUUAUUUGAAAGAUAAGUAGAUUUCUGUCUUAUUCAAUUCACUGAUUUUGGUUCUUUGUUAUUUGCAAUCAAAUCUAAUUCCAGUAGAUACAACUCCUAAGUGCAGAGCACUGUUCUAGGGAUUGUGGGGCAUGCUGACAUGGGUCUCAUGCCUGCAUAGCACUCAUAGCCUGCAGAAGAACAGCAGUGCUGCCAUAUCUGAUGGUCAUUUGACACACUGAACUCCAGCCAUAUCAAUUUUCUUUUCAGUCCCCAAAUGGCAGUCACCACAAAAGAAGAAAAGAUAAAGCUCUUAGUGGGAUCUGAAUCAAGAGAUACCACUUACAGUGGAAGGAAAAAAGAUCAUUUUCAUGGAGGAACUGCCCUUGAAUUUCGCCUUGAAUAUUGAUGAGUAUUGGAAUCUGCAGAGACUGGGAUAAGGUUGGGAUGAGGUCGAACACUACAGGAACAGAAAAUAUGGAACAUGUUUGGGAGCAGGCCAGGGAUUCUGUCAUAUAAAGUGCAUGAAAAAGCAUAUCAUGUAAUAUUUAUGAUUAUUGCUCUGGAGUUAGACUGUUUGGGUUUGAAUCCCAGAUCCAGUGUUUACUAUCUAUGUGACCUCGGCUGAGUCAUGAACUUCCAUGAGCUCCAUUCUUCUCACCUUUAAAAUGAAGAUCACAACUCCUACCUUCUUGGCUUGUUACCAGAAUUAAAUGAGUUUUUAUGUGUGGAGGGCUCAUGAGAGUGGCUGUCCCAAAUAAGCAUUCUCUAAAUGUUAGAUAUGACUGUCAUCCCCUUAAAACUGCAAGAGUUAGUUGAAACCAUAGCAAGCCGAGCCAUGAAUGCCAUGUUAAUGCAUGUUAAUGCCAUUAUUAUAAAGGUACCAAAAAGCUGCUGACAGUUUGUGAGCAAAGUUGUGGAUGACAUUAUCAGAGCUGUAUUUUAGGAAGUCUUAAUAUGUCAA